rnacentral:rRNA from 1 species
GACGAACGCUGGCGGCGUGCUUAACACAUGCAAGUCGAACGAAGUGGCGAACGGGUGAGUAACGCGUAAUCAACCUGCCCUUCAGAGGGGGACAACAGUUGGAAACGACUGCUAAUACCGCAUACUGAAGGAGGGGAUUGCGUCUGAUUAGCUAGUUGGAGGGGUAACGGCCCACCAAGGCGAUGCUCAGUAGCCGGUCUGAGAGGGUGAGCGGCCAAAAUGGGACUGGGACACGGCCCAGACUCCUAAGGGGGGCAGCAGUUGGGAAUCUUCCGCAAUGGACGAAAGUUUGAAGGAGCAACGCCGCGUGAGUGAUGACGGCCUUCGGGGUGGAAAGCUCUGUUAAUCGGGACGCGGUACCGGAAUAGAAAGCCACGGCUAACUACGUGCCAGCCGCCGCGGUAAUAC